rnacentral:lncRNA from 1 species
AUAAUUUCACUUAAGUGUGUAGUUGAUGAUGGGAUGAGUACGAACGUACACAGAUCUGCUGCUAAAUGAUCAGUCUCACUGACCUCCAUGAAACUUUUUUAUUGAUUUGUCAUCUUUGUUAGGUACCUAAUCCCAUGAGAUAUAUAUGUUAGUUUAGAUAAUGAGUUAUUUAAAGCUAGUUGGGGAAAGUGAUGGAGGGAAACGGGUAAUUGAUUAUUAUUGAAGGUGCUUUCACUUUGGAAACUUUCUUCCUGGCUAAUUGAAUAAACAAUAUACAAGUGCCAAUCAUAAUUUCAAUGCCUAUUCCCCUAUACAAUUGUAGAUGGCAUAUGGUGUAAUUCGAUUAAGAAACAACAAGAGUUUCAUAUAAAGCUGAUAAGGA